rnacentral:rRNA from 1 species
UACGGAAGGCAGCAGUGGGGAAUAUUGCACAAUGGGCGCAAGCCUGAUGCAGCCAUGCCGCGUGUAUGAAGAAGGCCUUCGGGUUGUAAAGUACUUUCAGUCGUGAGGAAGGUGUUAAGGUUAAUAACCUUAGCAAUUGACGUUAGCGACAGAAGAAGCACCGGCUAACUCCGUGCCAGCAGCCGCGGUAAUACGGAGGGUGCGAGCGUUAAUCGGAAUUACUGGGCGUAAAGGGCACGCAGGCGGUUAAUUAAGUUGGAUGUGAAAUCCCCGGGCUUAACCUGGGAAUGGCAUUCAAGACUGGUUAGCUAGAGUCUUGUAGAGGGGGUAGAAUUCCAUGUGUAGCGGUGAAAUGCGUAGAGAUGUGGAGGAAUACCGGUGGCGAAGGCGGCCCCUGGACAAGACUGACGCUCAUGUGCGAAAGCGUGGGGAGCGAAACAGGAUUAGAUACC